UGAAGAGUUUGAUCAUGGCUCAGAUUGAACGCUGGCGGCAGGCUUAACACAUGCAAGUCGAGCGGUAACAGGGGGUGCUUGCACCCCGCUGACGAGCGGCGGACGGGUGAGUAAUGCAUAGGAAACUGCCCAGUAGUGGGGGAUAGCCCGGGGAAACCCGGAUUAAUACCGCGUACGCCCUUCGGGGGAAAGCAGGGGAUCUUCGGACCUUGCGCUAUUGGAUGUGCCUAUGUCGGAUUAGCUAGUUGGUGGGGUAAAGGCCUACCAAGGCGACGAUCCGUAGCUGGUCUGAGAGGAUGAUCAGCCACAUCGGGACUGAGACACGGCCCGAACUCCUACGGGAGGCAGCAGUGGGGAAUAUUGGACAAUGGGGGCAACCCUGAUCCAGCCAUGCCGCGUGUGUGAAGAAGGCUUUCGGGUUGUAAAGCACUUUCAGUGAGGAGGAAAACUCUGCGACUAAUACUCGUAGGGCUUGACGUUACUCACAGAAGAAGCACCGGCUAACUCCGUGCCAGCAGCCGCGGUAAUACGGAGGGUGCAAGCGUUAAUCGGAAUUACUGGGCGUAAAGCGCGCGUAGGUGGUUUGAUAAGCGAGAUGUGAAAGCCCCGGGCUUAACCUGGGAACGGCAUUUCGAACUGUCAGGCUAGAGUAUGGUAGAGGGUAGUGGAAUUUCCUGUGUAGCGGUGAAAUGCGUAGAUAUAGGAAGGAACACCAGUGGCGAAGGCGGCUACCUGGACCAAUACUGACACUGAGGUGCGAAAGCGUGGGGAGCAAACAGGAUUAGAUACCCUGGUAGUCCACGCCGUAAACGAUGUCUACUAGCCGUUGGGACUCUUGAAGUCUUAGUGGCGCAGCUAACGCACUAAGUAGACCGCCUGGGGAGUACGGCCGCAAGGUUAAAACUCAAAUGAAUUGACGGGGGCCCGCACAAGCGGUGGAGCAUGUGGUUUAAUUCGACGCAACGCGAAGAACCUUACCUGGCCUUGACAUGCAGAGAACUUUCCAGAGAUGGAUUGGUGCCUUCGGGAACUCUGACACAGGUGCUGCAUGGCCGUCGUCAGCUCGUGUCGUGAGAUGUUGGGUUAAGUCCCGCAACGAGCGCAACCCUCAUCCUUAGUUGCCAUCACGUUUGGGUGGGCACUCUAGGGAAACUGCCGGUGCUAAGCCGGAGGAAGGCGGGGAUGACGUCAAGUCCUCAUGGCCCUUACGCGUAGGGCUACACACGUGCUACAAUGGCAGUGACAAUGGGAUAAUCCCCAAAAGCUGUCUCAGUUCGGAUUGUCGGCUGCAACUCGCCGGCAUGAAGUUGGAAUCGCUAGUAAUCGCGAA
rnacentral:rRNA from 1 species